AUUGAACGCUGGCGGCAGGCCUAACACAUGCAAGUCGAGCGGAUGAGGAGUGCUUGCACUCCGAUUCAGCGGCGGACGGGUGAGUAAUGCCUAGGAAUCUGCCUGGUAGUGGGGGACAACGUUUCGAAAGGAACGCUAAUACCGCAUACGUCCUACGGGAGAAAGCAGGGGACCUUCGGGCCUUGCGCUAUCAGAUGAGCCUAGGUCGGAUUAGCUAGUUGGUGGGGUAAAGGCUCACCAAGGCGACGAUCCGUAACUGGUCUGAGAGGAUGAUCAGUCACACUGGAACUGAGACACGGUCCAGACUCCUACGGGAGGCAGCAGUGGGGAAUAUUGGACAAUGGGCGAAAGCCUGAUCCAGCCAUGCCGCGUGUGUGAAGAAGGUCUUCGGAUUGUAAAGCACUUUAAGUUGGGAGGAAGGGCAUUAACCUAAUACGUUAGUGUUUA
rnacentral:rRNA from 1 species